rnacentral:rRNA from 1 species
CAGUCGCCGCGGUAAAACGUAGGUGGCAAGCGUUGUCCGGAAUUAUUGGGCGUAAAGGGCUCGCAGGCGGUUUCUUAAGUCUGAUGUGAAAGCCCCCGGCCAAACCGGGGAGGGUCAUUGGAAACUGGGAAACUUGAGCGCAGAAGAGGAGAGUGGAAUUCCACGUGUAGCGGUGAAAUGCGUAGAGAUGUGGAGGAACACCAGUGGCGAAGGCGACUCUCUGGUCUGUAACUGACGCUGAGGAGCGAAAGCGUGGGGAGCGAACAGGAUUAGAUACCCCAGUAGUCCCUGUCUCUUAUAC